rnacentral:rRNA from 1 species
CGGACCUUGCGCUAUCGGAUGAGCCCAUGUCGGAUUAGCUUGUUGGUGAGGUAAUGGCUCACCAAGGCGACGAUCCGUAGCUGGUCUGAGAGGAUGAUCAGCCACACUGGGACUGAGACACGGCCCAGACUCCUACGGGAGGCAGCAGUGGGGAAUAUUGGACAAUGGGCGAAAGCCUGAUCCAGCCAUGCCGCGUGUGUGAAGAAGGCCUUCGGGUUGUAAAGCACUUUCAGCGAGGAAGAACGCCUUGGGAUUAAUACUCCCGAGGAAAGACAUCACUCGCAGAAGAAGCACCGGCUAACUCCGUGCCAGCAGCCCGCGGUAAUACGGAGGGUGCAAGCGUUAAUCGGAAUUACUGGGCGUAAAGCGCGCGUAGGUGGCUAAGUCAGCCAGGUGUGAAAGCCCCGGGCUCAACCUGGGAACGGCAUCUGGAACUGCUUGGCUAGAGUGCAGGAGAGGAAGGUAGAAUUCCCGGUGUAGCGGUGAAAUGCGUAGAGAUGCCUUGANGNAUNCCAGUGGCGAAGCGGCCUUCUGGACUGACACUGACACUGAGGUGCGAAAGCGUGGGUAGCAAACAGGAUUAGAUACCCUGGUAGUCCACGCCGUAAACGAUGUCAACUAGCCGUUGGGUCCCUUGAGGACUUAGUGGCGCAGCUAACGCAAUAAGUUGACCGCCUGGGGAGUACGGCCGCAAGGUUAAAACUCAAAUGAAUUGACGGGGGCCCGCACAAGCGGUGGAGCAUGUGGUUUAAUUCGAUGCAACGCGAAGAACCUUACCUACCCUUGACAUCCAGAGGACUUUCCAGAGAUGGAUUGGUGCCUUCGGGAACUCUGAGACAGGUGCUGCAUGGCUGUCGUCAGCUCGUGUUGUGAAAUGUUGGGUUAAGUCCCGUAACGAGCGCAACCCCUAUCCUUAUUUGCCAGCGAGUAAUGUCGGGAACUCUAAGGAGACUGCCGGUGACAAACCGGAGGAAGGUGGGGACGACGUCAAGUCAUCAUGGCCCUUACGGGUAGGGCUACACACGUGCUACAAUGGCAAGUACAAAGGGUUGCAAUACUGCGAAGUGGAGCCAAUCCCAUAAAGCUUGCCUCAGUCCGGAUUGGAGUCUGCAACUCGACUCCAUGAAGUCGGAAUCGCUAGUAAUCGUGGAUCAGAAUGCCACGGUGAAUACGUUCCCGGGCCUUGUACACACCGCCCGUCACACCAUGGGAGUGGACUGCACCAGAAGUGGUUAGCCUAACCUUCGGGAGGGCGAUCACCACGGUGUGGUUCAUGACUGGGGUGAAGUCGUAACAAGGUAACCCA